rnacentral:rRNA from 1 species
GACGAACGCUGGCGGCGUGCUUAACACAUGCAAGUCGAGCGAUGAAGUUCCUUCGGGAACGGAUUAGCGGCGGACGGGUGAGUAACACGUGGGUAACCUGCCUCAUAGAGGGGAAUAGCCUUCCGAAAGGAAGAUUAAUACCGCAUAAGAUUGUAGUAUCGCAUGGUACAGCAAUUAAAGGAGCAAUCCGCUAUGAGAUGGACCCGCGUCGCAUUAGCUAGUUGGUGAGGUAACGGCUCACCAAGGCGACGAUGCGUAGCCGACCUGAGAGGGUGAUCGGCCACAUUGGGACUGAGACACGGCCCAGACUCCUACGGGAGGCAGCAGUGGGGAAUAUUGCACAAUGGGGGAAACCCUGAUGCAGCAACGCCGCGUGAGUGAUGACGGUCUUCGGAUUGUAAAGCUCUGUCUUCAGGGACGAUAAUGACGGUACCUGAGGAGGAAGCCACGGCUAACUACGUGCCAGCAGCCGCGGUAAAAC